UACACAUGAUGUGGGCAUUGCCUGAGCAUAUUUUUGAAUUUAUCCCAUACUUCAAAUAAUGAUUCUGAAUUUGACUGUCUAAAGCUUGCUAUAAGAUUCCUCAUAUG